rnacentral:misc_RNA from 1 species
GAUGAAGAACGUAGCGAAAUGCGAUAAGUAAUGUGAAUUGCAGAAUUCAGUGAAUCAUCGAAUCUUUGAACGCAUAUUGCGCCCCUUGGUUAUUCCGGGGGGCACACCUGUUCGAGCGUCAUUAUAACCCCUCAAGCUCAGCUUGGUGUUGGGGCCUGCCGACUGGCAGCCCUUAAAAUCAGUGGCGGCGCCAUCUGGCUCUAAGCGUAGUAAUUUCUCUCGCUAUAGAGUCCCGGUGGAUGCUUGCCAGCAACCCCCAACUUUCUAUGGUUGACCUCGGAUCAGGUAGGGAUACCCGCUGAACUUAAGCAUAUCAAUAAGCGGAGGA